GACGAACGCUGGCGGCGUGCCUAAUACAUGCAAGUUGAGCGGACGAUUCAAAAGCUUGCUUUUGAAUCGUUAGCGGCGGACGGGUGAGUAACACGUGGGCAACCUGCCCUGUAGACGGGGAUAACACCGAGAAAUCGGUGCUAAUACCGGAUAACACGAAAUGUCGCAUGACGUUUCGUUGAAAGACGGCGCAAGCUGUCGCUACAGGAUGGGCCCGCGGCGCAUUAGCUAGUUGGUGAGGUAACGGCUCACCAAGGCGACGAUGCGUAGCCGACCUGAGAGGGUGAUCGGCCACACUGGGACUGAGACACGGCCCAGACUCCUACGGGAGGCAGCAGUAGGGAAUCUUCCGCAAUGGACGAAAGUCUGACGGAGCAACGCCGCGUGAGCGAAGAAGGCCUUCGGGUCGUAAAGCUCUGUUGUUAGGGAAGAACAAGUAACGCAGUAACUGGCGUUACCGUGACGGUACCUAACGAGAAAGCCACGGCUAACUACGUGCCAGCAGCCGCGGUAAUACGUAGGUGGCAAGCGUUGUCCGGAAUUAUUAGGCGUAAAGCGCGCGCAGGCGGUUCCUUAAGUCUGAUGUGAAAGCCCACGGCUCAACCGUGGAGGGUCAUUGGAAACUGGGGGACUUGAGUGCAGAAGAGGAGAGCGGAAUUCCACGUGUAGCGGUGAAAUGCGUAGAGAUGUGGAGGAACACCAGUGGCGAAGGCGGCUCUCUGGUCUGUAACUGACGCUGAGGCGCGAAAGCGUGGGGAGCAAACAGGG
rnacentral:rRNA from 1 species